GACGAACGCUGGCGGCGUGCUUAACACAUGCAAGUCGAACGGAAAGGCCCUGCUUUUGUGGGGUGCUCGAGUGGCGAACGGGUGAGCAACACGUGAGUAACCUGCCCUUGACUUUGGGAUAACUUCAGGAAACUGGGGCUAAUACCGGAUAGGAGCUCCUGCUGCAUGGUGGGGGUUGGAAAGUUUCGGCGGUUGGGGAUGGACUCGCGGCUUAUCAGCUUGUUGGUGGGGUAGUGGCUUACCAAGGCUUUGACGGGUAGCCGGCCUGAGAGGGUGACCGGCCACAUUGGGACUGAGAUACGGCCCAGACUCCUACGGGAGGCAGCAGUGGGGAAUAUUGCACAACGGGCGGAAGCCUGAUGCAGCAACGCCGCGUGCGGGAUGACGGCCUUCGGGUUGUAAACCGCUUUCGCCUGUGACGAAGCGUGAGUGACGGUAAUGGGUAAAGAAGCACCGGCUAACUACGUGCCAGCAGCCGCGGUGAUACGUAGGGUGCGAGCGUUGUCCGGAUUUAUUGGGCGUAAAGGGCUCGUAGGUGGUUGAUCGCGUCGGAAGUGUAAUCUUGGGGCUUAACCCUGAGCGUGCUUUCGAUACGGGUUGACUUGAGGAAGGUAGGGGAGAAUGGAAUUCCUGGUGGAGCGGUGGAAUGCGCAGAUAUCAGGAGGAACACCAGUGGCGAAGGCGGUUCUCUGGGCCUUUCCUGACGCUGAGGAGCGAAAGCGUGGGGAGCGAACAGGCUUAGAUACCCUGGUAGUCCACGCUGUAAACGGUGGGUACUAGGCGUGGGGUCCAUUCCACGGGUUCCGUGCCGUAGCUAACGCUUUAAGUACCCCGCCUGGGGAGUACGGCCGCAAGGCUAAAACUCAAAGGAAUUGACGGGGCCCCGCACAAGCGGCGGAGCAUGCGGAUUAAUUCGAUGCAACGCGUAGAACCUUACCUGGGUUUGACAUGGAUCGGGAGCGCUCAGAGAUGGUGUGCCUCUUUUGGGGUCGGUUCACAGGUGGUGCAUGGCUGUCGUCAGCUCGUGUCGUGAGAUGUUGGGUUAAGUCCCGCAACGAGCGCAACCCUUGUUCACUGUUGCCAGCACGUUAUGGUGGGGACUCAGUGGAGACCGCCGGGGUCAACUCGGAGGAAGGUGGGGAUGACGUCAAGUCAUCAUGCCCCUUAUGUCCAGGGCUUCACGCAUGCUACAAUGGCUGGUACAGAGAGUGGCGAGCCUGUGAGGGUGAGCGAAUCUCGGAAAGCCGGUCUCAGUUCGGAUUGGGGUCUGCAACUCGACCUCAUGAAGUCGGAGUCGCUAGUAAUCGCAGAUCAGCAACGCUGCGGUGAAUACGUUCCCGGG
rnacentral:rRNA from 1 species